rnacentral:tRNA from 1 species
CCACCUAAUCGUCUAAUGGAUAGGAUGCCUUGGCUUGGCCGGCCGGGGAGGACUGGUUCGAAUCCAGAAGGGUGGGC